ACUCCAGCAUCAUCUCAGAUAGUUGCUGUAUAUGUUCAGGGACCACCCCUCCAGGAGCUUCAGAGCAAGGGACAGGUGACUGUCACCUGUCUUCUCGUUGGCCCUUCUCUUGAUGAUUUCUCCACCACCUGGAAAGUAGGUGGGAACAAAUAUUCUCUUAAUGUCCACACGGAGCAACCAGUGAGUCACAGCAAUGGGACGGAGUCUUUGCGGAGCUUCCUCAAAGUGUCAGCGGAGGAUUGGCAUGCAUAUAAACAAGUGUCUUGUGAGGGGAAGCACAGAUGUUCCAACCAGGGCUACCAGGACCAUAUAAGCAAAAGCAGAGACCUGUACCCACCAACAGUGAAAAUAUUACAACCAACUGCCUCUGAGCUGUCUACCUCAGACGUCCUCACACUUAUUUGUCUAGUUUCUGGAUUUUUCCCGUCUAACAUCAUGGUGUACUGGGAGGAGAAUGGCCAGAGACUCCCUUCAGCUCGCUACACCAACAGUCCUGCCUGGAAAUACACAGAGAGCAGCGCUUAUUCAAUGAGCAGCAGACUAAACACAUCCAAAACUGAGGACAAGGAGUCUACGUAUUCUUGUGUUGUCAGACAUGAGUCCUCUGAAACGCCGUUUGAAAGCACUAUAAAGGAUGUUUUUGCCACAGUGACCUACAGCCAACCUUCAGCCACCUUGCUCCAGGGCUCUGGUGAACUUGUGUGCCUGGUCUUCGGCUUCAGCCCUGCAUCUAUUAGCAUCACUUGGUUUUCUGGUAACACCAAGGAACUGUUGGACUACAACACUAGUGAACCCAUCAGAGGCCCAAAUGGAAAGUUCAGCAUCCAAAGCCACCUUCGUCUGUCCCAUGGCAACUGGUUCCCUGGGGCAGUCCUCACCUGCAGGGUGACACAUGAGAACACCACCCAAUCCCUGAAUAUAUCUAAACCAGGGACGUUGGAGGGCUGUCAUUUCUUAGAUGAGAUUAUGCAUACUGAUGUGAACCAAGACACAGAUGUGGAAAGCUGGUAUAUGACUUUCACUUUCCUCUUUUUAUUCCUCAUCUCUGUCAUCUAUGGUGUCUUGGCUACUGUGAUUAAGACUAAAUGAUGAUGACCCCAGGACAGAUUAAUGAGCCAAAUGGGAACAUUUGAGGAUUUUUGAUGGUCUUACUAGGUGUAAACUGUAAUUAAUGAAUUUUUCUUUUUACAUUUGUAUAAUAUUUUAGAAAUGAUUCAUACUGUAUUAAUUUCUUUUUAUGUUUCAGUCACUUUGAGAUUCAAAUACAAGUGUAACAAAUAUUCUGUCACUGGACUCAUUCAUGCAUUCAGCAAAAUACAGAUUUCAAUUUGGAAAACAAAGAUUGUCUCAUUAAUUACAAUAAAACAUAUGAUUGUACAUACUGAUGUAAAACUGACCUGUACGUAUUUAAGGUUUAAUGGACGGACUGGAGUGGGAUGCUACUAUCAGGGGGGAGAGUAAAAUGUCGAACCUUGGUUUUCACAGCUUUCAAUUUACACGUGGUAACUUACUUUAAUUUAGUUACACAUUCCGGUUUAAUGAAGAGCAUGGGUAGUAGUUAAAAUGCCUGAAGAAUCCCACAGAUUGACCUGUACAGCCUCUUUGGAUUCACAUUCAGCAGUUUGUAUAUGAGGUGGAUCAGACAGGCUCCUGGAAAACAACUGUGAGUUGCAUUAAUGAGCACGGCUAGUGGGUGACACCACCAAUACCAUCAAAAUCAUAAAAAUGAUUUCAGCUUGAAUAAUUGCAUUAAAAACUGAAUUUAAAUUGCUCAACUUGAAUUUGAAUUUAUUUAGUUUGAAACUGAAUUCCAAUAAACUUGAAACUGAAUGUGAUAUUAUGAAUCUAAACUGAAACUGUAUUUGAGCCUCAUUAAAAUUCAAGUCUUUGUGUGCUUUCA